UACGAAGGGUGCAAGCGUUACUCGGAAUUACUGGGCGUAAAGCGUGCGUAGGUGGUUUCUUAAGUCUGCUGUGAAAGCCCCGGGCUCAACCUGGGAAUUGCAGUGGAUACUGGGGAGCUAGAGUGCGGUAGAGGGUAGUGGAAUUCCUGGUGUAGCGGUGAAAUGCGUAGAUAUCAGGAGGAACACCGGCGGUGUAGACGGCUCUCUGGACCGUAACUGACGCUGAGACACGAAAGCGUGGGUAGCAAACAGG
rnacentral:rRNA from 1 species